CCUACGGGAGGCAGCAGUGGGGAAUAUUGGGCAAUGGGCGCAAGCCUGACCCAGCAACGCCGCGUGAAGGAAGACGGCUUUCGGGUUGUAAACUUCUUUUCUGAGGGACGACGAAAGUGACGGUACCUCAGGAAUAAGCCACGGCUAACUACGUGCCAGCAGCGGCGGUAAUACGUAGGUGGCAAGCGUUAUCCGGAUUUAUUGGGUGUAAAGGGCGUGUAGGCGGGAAAGCAAGUCAGAUGUGAAAACUCAGGGCUCAACCCUGAGCCUGCAUUUGAAACUGUUUUUCUUGAGUGCUGGAGAGGCAAUCGGAAUUCCGUGUGUUGCGGGGAAAUGCGUAGAUAUACGGAGGAACACCAGUGGCGAAGGCGGAUUGCUGGACAGUAACUGACGCUGAGGCGCGAAAGCGUGGGGAGCAAACAGGAUUAGAUACCCGAGUAGUC
rnacentral:rRNA from 1 species